AGGAAUAUUGGUCAAUGGGCGCGAGCCUGAACCAGCCAAGUAGCGUGAAGGAUGAAGGUCCUACGGAUUGUAAACUUCUUUUAUAAGGGAAUAAAGUCACCCACGUGUGGGUGUUUGUAUGUACCUUAUGAAUAAGCAUCGGCUAACUCCGUGCCAGCAGCCGCGGUAAUACGGAGGAUGCGAGCGUUAUCCGGAUUUAUUGGGUUUAAAGGGAGCGUAGACGGGCCGUUAAGUCAGCUGUGAAAGUUUGCGGCUCAACCUUAAAAUUGCAGUUGAUACUGGCGUCCUUGAGUACGGUUGAGGCAGGCGGAAUUCGUGGUGUAGCGGUGAAAUGCUUAGAUAUCACGAAGAACCCCGAUUGCGAAGGCAGCCUGCUAAACCGCCACUGACGUUGAGGCUCGAAAGUGUGGGUAUCAAACAGGAUUAGAUACCCUGGUAGUCCACACGGUAAACGAUGAAUACUCGCUGUUUGCGAUAUACUGCAAGCGGCCAAGCGAAAGCGUUAAGUAUUCCACCUGGGGAGUACGCCGGCAACGGUGAAACUCAAAGGAAUUGACGGGGGCCCGCACAAGCGGAGGAACAUGUGGUUUAAUUCGAUGAUACGCGAGGAACCUUACCCGGGCUUAAAUUGCAGAUGAAUUACGGUGAAAGCCGUAAGCCGCAAGGCAUCUGUGAAGGUGCUGCAUGGUUGUCGUCAGCUCGUGCCGUGAGGUGUCGGCUUAAGUGCCAUAACGAGCGCAACCCUUGUUGUCAGUUACUAACAGGUUCCGCUGAGGACUCUGACAAGACUGCCAUCGUAAGAUGUGAGGAAGGUGGGGAUGACGUCAAAUCAGCACGGCCCUUACGUCCGGGGCUACACACGUGUUACAAUGGGGGGUACAGAGGGCCGCUACCACGCGAGUGGAUGCCAAUCCCCAAAACCUCUCUCAGUUCGGACUGGAGUCUGCAACCCGACUCCACGAAGCUGGAUUCGCUAGUAAUCGCGCAUCAGCCACGGCGCGGUGAAUACGUUCCCG
rnacentral:rRNA from 1 species